CACGUAGGCACCAAGCGUUGUCCGGAUUUAUUGGGCGUAAAGAGCUCGUAGGCGGUUCGGUAAGUCGGGUGUGAAAACUUUGGGCUCAACCCAAAGCGUGCACUCGAUACUGCCAUGACUAGAGUUCGGUAGGGGAGUGGGGAAUUCCUAGUGUAGCGGUGAAAUGCGCAGAUAUUAGGAGGAACACCGGUGGCGAAGGCGCCACUCUGGGCCGAAACUGACGCUGAGGAGCGAAAAGCGUGGGUAGCAAACAGG
rnacentral:rRNA from 1 species